rnacentral:lncRNA from 8 species
AUGCCAGUGUUCCGUGUGCCAGUGUUCCAUGUGCUAGAGUUCUGUGUAGCAGUGUUCCGUGUGCCAGUGUUCCAUGUGCUAGAGUUCUGUGUGGCAGUGUUCCAUGUGAUAAAGUUCCGUGUGCCAGUGUUCCGUGUGCCAGUGUUCCAUGUGCUAGAGUUCUGUGUGGCAGUGUUCCAUGUGCCAGUGUUCCAUGUGCUAGAGUUCCGUGUGCUAAAGUUCCAAGUGCAAGUGUUCCGUGUGCCAGUGUUCCAUGUGCUAGAGUUCUGUGUGGCAGUGUUCCAUGUGCCAGUGUUCCAUGUGCUAGAGUUCUGUGUGGCAGUGUUCCAUGUGCCAGUGUUCCAUUUGCCAGUGUUCCGUGUGCCAGUGUUCCGUGUGCCAGUAUUUCCAUGUGCUAGAGUUCUGUGUGGAAGUGUUCCGUGUGCCAGUGUUCCAUGUGCUAAAGUUCUGUGUGUCAGUGUCCCGUGUUUAUUAAGUUCCGUGUGCCAGUGUUCCAUGUGCUUGAGUUCUGUGUGGCAGUGUUCCGUGUGCCAGUAUUUCCAUGUGCUAGAGUUCUGUGUGGCAGUGUUCCGUGUGCCAGUGUUCCAUGUCAUAGAGUUCUGUGUGGCAGUGUUCCGUGUGCUAAAGUUCUGUGUGCCAGUUUUCCGUGUGCUAAAGUUCCGUGUGCCAGUGUUCCGUGUGCCAGUGUUCCAUGUGCUAAAGUUCCGUGUGUCAGUGUCCCGUGUGCUAAAGUUCCAUGUGCCAGUGUUCCAUGUGCUAGAGUUCUGUGUGGCAGUGUUCCGUGUGCUAAAGUUCCGUGUGCAAGUGUUCCGUGUGCCAGUGUUCCAUGUGCCAGUGUUCCAUGUGCCUGUGUUCCGUGUGCUAAAGUUCCGUGUGACAGUGUUCCAUGUGCCCACCUUUCUUCCUCUGUCCCCUGUUCGAUUUAACUCCUGCCUCACUCCAUGGCCUCUGAACACAGCUGUGUGUGUGUGUGUGGGUGUGUGUGUGUUUGUGUGUGUGUAG